rnacentral:rRNA from 1 species
AUUGAACGCUGGCGGCAUGCCUUACACAUGCAAGUCGAACGGUAACAGGUCUUCGGAUGCUGACGAGUGGCGAACGGGUGAGUAAUACAUCGGAACGUGCCCGAUCGUGGGGGAUAACGAAGCGAAAGCUUUGCUAAUACCGCAUACGAUCUACGGAUGAAAGCGGGGGAUCUUCGGACCUCGCGCGGACGGAGCGGCCGAUGGCAGAUUAGGUAGUUGGUGGGAUAAAAGCUUACCAAGCCGACGAUCUGUAGCUGGUCUGAGAGGAUGAUCAGCCACACUGGGAUUGAGACACGGCCCAGACUCCUACGGGAGGCAGCAGUGGGGAAUUUUGGACAAUGGGCGCAAGCCUGAUCCAGCCAUGCCGCGUGCAGGAUGAAGGCCUUCGGGUUGUAAACUGCUUUUGUACGGAACGAAAAGGUGCCUUCUAAUAAAGGGCGCUCAUGACGGUACCGUAAGAAUAAGCACCGGCUAACUACGUG